CCUAAACAAACACCCUCUAAAAGUGAAUCAAAACUCUAAAACAACCUCAGAACUCUGUUUGCCUAACACCCCUUUGGUUUUCUUGUUUUUCCUCCCGUGCUAUAUACUUGUAUAUUGAGAUAGAAAAGCUUAGCUUGUGCCAUUCAAGAGGCCGCCCUAUCAUCUUGGCGCUGCGACCAGCUUAGCUUGCGCUUUAGCACCCCUACACUGCCUUCGUGUCACCAUUGCAAUCGCAUCAUAAUUAGGUUUUAUUUUCCUAAAAACCAGCAAUCGAGAUUGUCAACGCCAACGCCCUUUUCCUCCUUUGUCGCUCUACUAAUUGAAAUCCAAAUGGCCUCGGAAGAAGUAACCGGUGGUGAUGCUGAUGUUAGUGGUGUCAGUGUCAAGUUUGAGCAUCUUAAGUUGGAGGGAGAGGGAGCUACACUCUACGAUGAGGUGCAGACUUUUGAUCACAAAGCUAUGUUAGAAAAGUUACAAGGUCUCCUGCAAAGUAUGGAAGAAAAUUGGUUCGCUCAUCUCCCAUUUAGAGGCAAAAUGAAUUCUGAAUUUAAUGAGGUGAAUAAGUAUUAUGCUUAUUGUGAAUUCAAAGAGGAUAGAAACCUUCGUACUUCAAGUGUCACUUUUUUGAAAAGUCUAACCGACCUUCCUAUUUCGAAACUUAAAGCAAUAGUACAGGGAAAACCUACCUCGUUAACCCCCAUUCGUUCCCUCUAUUAUAAUUUGUCAAACAGCCAUAGUUUUAAAAAGAAAAAAGGGGAAGUAACCAUGGCUAAAGUUUCGUCUUAUAUUGAUGAUUUAUGCUGUCAUUUUCUUUGCACCCGACAAUCAUUAGGUGUUAAAGCGUCAGACUCUGCGUCAGACUCAAAUUCAAUUUUUGUUGGAAAUAUUGUUGUCAUUAGAAGUGAUAUUGAUUCAAAUGGAGAUAUUGAGGACGAUGCUAGUAUAUUGAAUCAACCGUAUAGAAUCAAUUUCUCCAAUAUCAAAUCUAUUAAAAUCGCCAGAGAACAUCCAAAAUUUAUUCUUAUUGUAGAAAAGAUGACUGUUUUUGAAGAUUUACUCUCACAAAGGUUCCACCGCCAGUUUCCAUGUGUCGUCAUAACCGGUGAGGGUGAACCAAGCUUAGAUUGCAGGAUGUUUGUUAGAAUGGUGUGGGAAACCUAACAAGUGCCUGUUUUAGCUCUCGUUGAUUGUAAUCCUGCUGGUUUUGAGAUCUUUAAGACAUAUAAAUAUGGAUCAUUUAACAUGGCAUUCAUGAGUCAGAACUUGGUAGUCCCUACGGUUAAGCUGAUUGGAUUACUUAGGUCAGAUUUAAAUGAGUGUAACAUAUCUGAUUCUGACAUGAUAUCAACAAAUGACAAAGAUAUAUCUAAAGCAGUGCAACUAUCAAAGGAAUCUUGGAUAAACCAUGAGCCUGCCAUUUCACAAGAUGUGCAGUCUAUCUUGAAUGAUAAGAAGAAGGCUGAUAUUGAAAUAUUAUCCUCGAAAAAUGGUCCAGAUUUUUUGGUAGAUACUUACCUUAAACAGAAGAUACAGAAGAUACUAGAUUUGAAGACCGACUAAGAAGGACCUAUGAGUGUCGAAGUGGGACUGGGCGUGGUUAAGUGUUGCUUCCCUACCCGUGUGACUAUUUGUCAAUGUUCCUGUUUUUCCAAGCAAGAGGUCAAACGUGAGGGAUUUGGGCGCUCAAUCAGAAGAAGUUGCUUUGUGAGAUUUCUAUGCACUUGCUGCAUCUCUUUUCUUCUAUGUUACUACUUUAACCUUGUUUUUGGGUCGAGAGCCUGAUCUUCAAGGAAUUCUUUGCUCCAGUUCGCAAAUCCUCAUACAACAGAAUAAGUGUAUUCUAGAAGGAAACAAUUAUGUACCCAGCGAUAAACUAAAUGCUCCCACUGAGAGAGCUAUUGGUUUUUACAAUCAAGAGGUGGCUUCCGCUAAUUUGGGAGUGCUGAGAUCGUCUGCUCAUAAUUUCUUGUUAGUUUUAUUCAAUGCUUUCCUGGUCUCCACAAAUGAUCCUGGUGGAAGCUUGCUGAUACAAUUCGAUGUUCUUUUUCAUGCUAUCAUAAGUUUCUAUCUGUUAUAUAGUGUUAGCCGUGUCUGCUUGCUGAUUCGGGUAGAGUGACUUCAUUUUUGUUUGUCAUAGUUCAUGUCGGUUGUUUUUCUUUAUUACAUAAUUAUUCAAUAUCAACCCUGUUGAAUGUUGCAGGUAUAUGUUUAUGAUUUUUUUUUCUUGCUCCAGUUUAUUUGUUUUUUUUUUUUUUUUUUUUUUUUUUUUUUUUUUUUUUUUUUUUUUUUUUGCAUUGUCAGGCUAUUUAGACAAAACGUUCUGUACUGUCAAGUUGUUGGUCUACAUAGAUUGAUUGAUUUUGUUUCAGUUAUAAUUCAAUGCUCAGCCAUAAUUAGGUAUGAUGGGCUUUGUGAGCACAGGAAGCCCCAGCCUUAAUACCUUUGUAUCUUUCCCAAAAUGAGUGUAUAAUUUCCCAUCUUUUCCUCCACCAUCAAUCACCAUCUCUUAUUUUAGAUUCCACCACCCCUAGUCAAUACCCUUGAUUUCCUUAACAAUCUAUAUAAUUAACUCAAAUGUGCACUAAGGCAAUAGGGAUCAUGUUGUGCCUUUUUGUACCCCAUUGCGUUGAAGCGCACUUGAUAGAAAUAAAACAUUCGUUGGCAAAAAAAAGUUGUGCUCCUCAUUGCGCCUAGGUGAGCUUCACUGAAAUCACCUCGCCUAGAGAAAAAAGGUGUUUGACUCCUAGCGCCUAGGGGCGUGCCUAUUUAUAUAUUGUCCACUAAAAAAUGUAGCAAGAUUUGUUAUGCUUUGGAACUGUAUUAAGAGGGUGUCCUGCCUCACGUACUAGUGAAUUUGUGUUUCUGUGAUGUUCAGUAAAAGCGUUGUUGGACCUUUAUGUAUAUGAAGCAUCUAUUAGAAUUUCAUUUGAUCCCUUUAUCUUGUGGAUUUGGGAUGCUUGAAGACAUUUUCUGUCUCCCUUAGGGUUUAUAUAUGUCUCUCUCCUCUCCAUUCCCCUUCCCUGCUUGAAAUAUUCAUUCUGCCUCAAUGACUGACUACAUGACAAUGUUAUAGGGGAUCAAACUUUAAGGAGGAUAUCUGAGUGAAUGUGUAUGUUUCUGAGAAUUUCUUAGUUUUACAAUGUUUGGUUGUGAGAAGGUAUGGAGGUGUAAAUCUAAGCCAAUGUGGGAAAAUCUUUUAGUUGCCCUUUUUUUUUUUUGAAUGGUUUUUCCUUCAAAAGUGUUGGAAUAACUAUGGAAAACUAAGCAAAUCAAUACCAUAGCUGAAGGAUACUCAAUUUUCCACAGUUUUCCAUGAUAACAAACCAAACAAGUUAACAUUGAAGAUUUCCAUGUAUUCCUCUGGUUUUACUGUUGCACAGAUUUCCAUAGGUUUACUUCUCUAUUUUUCCAUUAAAUUGGGUCCCGAACACAUUGUUAUUAUUGAGGUAUACUGAGUUGCAUUUCAGUAUUGUGUUAAAACAGUGAUAAUUUAAUUUUGUAGGCAAACUUAGAAUACAGAUCCUAGAUGUUUUCAUCAGUAUGGGGAUAAAUCUAAUAAAAGUUGGUAUAAAUGUUGGGAAGUGGGAAAUUUUGGUAUUGGAUUAAUUUUUCCUGGCUGUCCUUGUCAAAUUAACUGUCUGCUAUGGCCCUAUGGGUUGCUGGCUGCUUCACUUAACUCUGCCGGUGGCUAAACUGAUGAGUGAUAGUUCACUUAUUAUAUUUUUAACUUGUUUAGAAAAACAUAUUAAUCUGCUAUAUACUGCUGCUAUUCUCCCCAUGGGUUCAUAUGUUUUCUAAGGAUAGUGAUGCCUUCUUUUGAUGUAAUUGGAACCUAGAAUCCUCUUCUUCAAGUUAGAAUUUCUUUCUUGGGCCAAUAAUAAUUGAUUUGUGGUACAAACUAUAGUCCAGUCUUGGUAUACCAAAUUAUAUAUGCAAGUAUCCGUUGCUCUUUAAUUUGUUUGCUGAUAAUUUUUUUAAAUGCUUCUCCGAACUUACAUCAGCUCUAGUUUGAUUCUAGUCUACAAUAGGUGAAUUUGCAUCAAUAGCGGGUGAAGAUACUGUCUCAAAUUUACUUAGGAAAGAAAUGAAACAACUUUUGAAGUUCACUGACGAUGGCAAUAAAAGAGAUGAAAUGGAGAUCGACUUUUAUCCGGUGAUAAUUCAUUUUCUUUCAAGAGAGCUCAGCAUUUUGAUCUGGCUGUUUCACUUUUGCCUGGUUUGGGUCCUCAGGAUACUGAUAUCUUGUUUUCUUCCAUAAUUCCAGCACUGGAGGAUGUCGAUGGCUUGAUCCAAAAGAAGGCGUACAAGGUUCUUUCAAUGAUUCUCAAGAAUUCGGAUGGGUUUAUUUCAAGGAAGAUUGAAGAAGUUCUCAAGUUGAUGAGUGAAGUGCGGUCUAAAUGUCAUUUCUCAGCCAAACGUCAUAGGCUUGACUGUUUGUAUUUUGUUAUUGUCCAUGUGAUCAAGGUUUGAUUUGUUUUACUUAAACUCUACAUGCUAGCUAUAUGUAUUCCCUCCAUCCUCGAAAUACUUCACAUUUUCCUUGAUCAGUUGUCCAAAUUUUAUAAUACUACAAUUUGGGUUGAA